rnacentral:rRNA from 1 species
UACAGAGGUCUCAAGCGUUGUUCGGAUUCAUUGGGCGUAAAGGGCGCGUAGGCGGCGGGGUAAGUCUGGUGUGAAAUCUCGGAGCUCAACUCCGAAAUUGCACUGGAUACUGCUCUGCUUGAGGGUUGGAGAGGAGAUCGGAAUUCACGGUGUAGCAGUGAAAUGCGUAGAUAUCGUGAGGAAGACCAGUGGCGAAGGCGGAUCUCUGGACGAAUCCUGACGCUGAGGCGCGAAGGCUAGGGGAGCAAACGGG